UACGUAGGGUGCGAGCGUUAAUCGGAAUUACUGGGCGUAAAGCGUGCGCAGGCGGCUUUGCAAGACAGAUGUGAAAUCCCCGGGCUCAACCUGGGAACUGCAUUUGUGACUGCAUGGCUGGAGUGCGGCAGAGGGGGAUGGAAUUCCGCGUGUAGCAGUGAAAUGCGUAGAUAUGCGGAGGAACACCGAUGGCGAAGGCAAUCCCCUGGGCCUGCACUGACGCUCAUGCACGAAAGCUAGGGGAGCAAACGGG
rnacentral:rRNA from 1 species